CUCCUACGGGAGGCAGCAGUGAGGAAUAUUGCGCAAUGGCCGAAAGGCUGACGCAGCGACGCCGCGUGAAGGAUGAAGUCCGUUAGGAUGUAAACUUCUUUUGCGGGGGACGAACAUACCGUUUCACGGUACUGACGGUACCCCGUGAAUAAGGAUCGGCUAACUACGUGCCAGCAGCCGCGGUAAUACGUAGGAUCCGAGCGUUGUCCGGAAUUACUGGGUGUAAAGGGCGUGUAGGUGGGCCUCUAAGUCAAUGGUGAAAUCUUGCAGCUUAACUGCAAAAUUGCCAUCGAAACUGGAGGUCUUGAGUACGGCAGAGGGAAAUGGAAUUCAUGGUGUAGCGGUGAAAUGUGUAGAUAUCAUGAAGAACACCAGUAGCGAAGGCGGUUUCCUGGUCCGUUACUGACACUGAGGCGCGAAAGCGUGGGGAGCAAACAGGAUUAGAUACCCUGGUAGUCCACGCCUUAAACGAUGGGUACUCGGUGCUGGGCCGCAAGGUUCAGUGCCAAAGCUAACGCAUUAAGUACCCCACCUGGGGAGUACGAUCGCAAGGUUGAAACUCAAAGGAAUUGACGG
rnacentral:rRNA from 1 species